rnacentral:rRNA from 1 species
AACGGAGAGGGCGAGCGUUGUUCGGAUUUACUGGGCGUAAAGGGCAUUCAGGUGUCCUGGUAAGCUCCGGGUGAAAUCUCUGCGCUCAACGCAGAAAUGUCCCGGGGAACUAUCAGGAUUGAGUUCAGGGGAAGAGAGUGGAAUUCUCGGUGUAGCGGUGAAAUGCGUAGAUAUCGAGAAGAACACCAGCGGCGAAGGCGGCUCUCUACUCUGAAACUGACACUGAGAUGCGAAAGCGUGGGUAGCGAACGGGAUUAGAUACCCCUGUA